AGUGAACGCUGGCGGUAGGCCUAACACAUGCAAGUCGAACGGCAGCACAGUAAGAGCUUGCUCUUACGGGUGGCGAGUGGCGGACGGGUGAGGAAUACAUCGGAAUCUACUUUUUCGUGGGGGAUAACGUAGGGAAACUUACGCUAAUACCGCAUACGACCUACGGGUGAAAGCAGGGGAUCUUCGGACCUUGCGCGAUUGAAUGAGCCGAUGUCGGAUUAGCUAGUUGGCGGGGUAAAGGCCCACCAAGGCGACGAUCCGUAGCUGGUCUGAGAGGAUGAUCAGCCACACUGGAACUGAGACACGGUCCAGACUCCUACGGGAGGCAGCAGUGGGGAAUAUUGGACAAUGGGCGCAAGCCUGAUCCAGCCAUACCGCGUGGGUGAAGAAGGCCUUCGGGUUGUAAAGCCCUUUUGUUGUGAAAGAAAAGCAGCAGGUUAAUACCCCGCUGUUCUGACGGUACCCAAAGAAGAAGCACCGGCUAACUUCGUG
rnacentral:rRNA from 1 species